rnacentral:ribozyme from 13 species
CGCAAAAGAAAAAGAAGAAAAAAAGAAAUCAAAAAAAGUGUCCAAAUGGGCAACUUCUUUGGACAAUGAUUUUCAUGUCGAUUUCUCUUCUGUUUCUCUCCUUUCUUCUU